GGUGAGAUGGCCGAGUUGGUUAUGGCGCCAGGUUAAGGUUAACCUUAACAACUAACAUUCCUGGUGGAGCAAUCCUCCUGGGUUCGAGUCCCAGUCUCAUCA
rnacentral:tRNA from 1 species